rnacentral:sRNA from 1 species
CGGGAAGUCCUCGUGUUGCAUCC